UAAAACUUGUUACAAAACGAGGUCGGUUAGGCUCUUCUUCUUCCGGAAAGCCCCAAAUUUACGUUACGACGUCGUGUUUUGAUCCUUCAAAUUUGCAGCUCCUUUCCUUUUUUCGGGAACCAAAAAACCAAACGUUUAACCUAAAUUAUCAAAAUCACUGAUUCAACUCCUUUACUUUAAUCUUAUUAGUCAGGAAGACCGGCUAUGGCUGCUAAAAUUCUUGCAAAUCUGAUUGUAAUGGGUUCUGGGAUUCUGAUAAGGUCCUUUGCGCAAGCUUAUCGUCAAGCACUUGCAAACUAUGUAGACAUCGACGUGCUGCUGGAAUUUUUAAUUAUCGUUUGGACAAAGAUGAUAAACAAUAAAAGUACAAGCUAAGCUUUGUUGCUGAUAACUUUUAGGUCAGUUACAAAA